GGCGGCAGGCCUUAUACAUGCAAGUCGAACGGUAAAAGUAGUGAAACUUGCUGGAUGGUGAUGAGUGGCGAACGGGUGAGUAAUGUAUGGGAAAUCGCCUGGGGGGAGGGGAUUAAAGAGAGGAAACGGUCGCUAUUGCCGCACGAUGCUAAAGGAUCAAAGGGGGGGACCGCCAGACCUCGCGCGAUUGGAUCUGCCGAUAUGGGAUUAGCUUGUUGGUGAGGGUAGCACACUCACCUAGGCGACGAGCCGUAGCUGGUCAUGAGAGACCCGACCAUCACACACUGGGAUCUGAGAUCACGCCCCCAGACUCCGACCGGGAGGCAGCCAGUGCGGCAUCUUGGACAUCGGGCGCUAGCCUGAUGCAGCCAUGCCGCGU
rnacentral:rRNA from 1 species